rnacentral:rRNA from 1 species
GUGCUUAACACAUGCAAGUCGAACGGUAAGGCCCUUUCGGGGGUACACGAGUGGCGAACGGGUGAGUAACACGUGGGUGAUCUGCCCUGCACUUUGGGAUAAGCCUGGGAAACUGGGUCUAAUACCGAAUACACCCUGCUGGUCGCAUGGCCUGGUGGGGGAAAGCUUUUGCGGUGUGGGAUGGGCCCGCGGCCUAUCAGCUUGUUGGUGGGGUGAUGGCCUACCAAGGCGACGACGGGUAGCCGGCCUGAGAGGGUGUCCGGCCACACUGGGACUGAGAUACGGCCCAGACUCCUACGGGAGGCAGCAGUGGGGAAUAUUGCACAAUGGGCGCAAGCCUGAUGCAGCGACGCCGCGUGAGGGAUGACGGCCUUCGGGUUGUAAACCUCUUUCAGCAGGGACGAAGCGCAAGUGACGGUACCUGUAGAAGAAGCACCGGCCAACUACGUGCCAGCAGCCGCGGUAAUACGUAGGGUGCGAGCGUUGUCCGGAAUUACUGGGCGUAAAGAGCUCGUAGGUGGUUUGUCGCGUUGUCCGUGAAAA